UUUGGUCUUCCUAGGUUAAGAAAAUCGAGUUUUCCGAUCUCCUAGUGUUGCGGAGAUCCGGUGAUUAGCAGCGUACACGAGAGCGUAGCGAAAGAGCGCGAGAAGGAUGAAAAAUAAAAGAAAGAACGAAGAAAUUCUAGCCGAUUGUUCGGCAUGAAUGAGGCACCUUGCUUACUGGCAGCGGUCUUUUCCCCCUUGGCCGCAGGUCUCGUAAAUUUUCCAUAAGGACGAUCGGCACCGGGAUAAAAAGAUAAUCCGAUGAGUCCACCACUGAUCUCGCGUUUUCCGUAUUUUCGAAGAGCGACGACUGACUCGAGAAUCUUUCUUUCUCGGUUACUCUACUCCCUGACGGAUAACUUCGCGAGAAGGUGAAUACAGGUGAAUAUUCUUUAACGAUAUACCUGUAACUUUUAUUUCUCCAUAAAAUAAUGAUAAUUUUA